CAUUCUAUUUGUUACAAGAUUUUGUGUGUUGCUAACAUAAUUCUUAUUUAAAUAUCUUUGACUUAUUUCUCACAUUCAAAUCACAUACCAUAGUUGUAAGAUUGUCGAUAAAGUUAAUUAAGUCGAUAAAGAAUUAAUUUUAUAUCUCAUAAAAAAUGUUAAUUUUCAUUGACCAUGUAAAAAUCUAUUUAAUGAGUAAUUAAUAAAUGAUUUUAUAUAUUAUC
rnacentral:lncRNA from 1 species